rnacentral:rRNA from 1 species
UACAGAGGUCUCAAGCGUUGUUCGGAUUCAUUGGGCGUAAAGGGUGCGUAGGCGGCGCGGUAAGUCGGGUGUGAAAUCUCUGGGCUUAACCCAGAGGCUGCUUCCAAAACUGCUGUGCUUGAGUGUGGGAGAGGCGCGUGGAAUUGCAGGUGUAGCGGUGAAAUGCGUAGAUAUCUGCAGGAACACCCGUGGCGAAAGCGGCGCGCUGGACCACUACUGACGCUGAGGAACGAAAGCUAGGGGAGCAAACAGG